rnacentral:rRNA from 1 species
UACGAAGGGUGCAAGCGUUGUUCGGAAUUACUGGGCGUAAAGGGCGCGUAGGCGGCCGAGCAAGUUAGAUGUGAAAGUCCUGGGCUUAACCUGGGGACUGCAUUUGAUACUGCUUGGCUUGAAUUCGGGAGAGGAUAGCGGAAUUCCCAGUGUAGAGGUGAAAUUCGUAGAUAUUGGGAAGAACACCGGUGGCGAAGGCGGCUAUCUGGACCGACAUUGACGCUGAGGCGCGAAGGCGUGGGGAGCAAACAGG